AACAAAAGUUAAGUAUGUUUCCAAAUUGAAAUUGGAAAAUUCAGAGCUACUUCUUCAUUUUGCUAGCAAGCUUUUCAAGCUUCAAUGCAUCGAUCCAUUUCCUCCAUUUAGCUAAGAUCUGGUGGUGGCUUUUGUUGAAAGCGGUGGUCUCUAUUCUAAUUUGGUCCUGUCAUGUGUUUGCGCUUAAGGUCGGUAUUCUCUUUUUUCUCCUAUUUAUCUCAUAGAUUUGUGUCCACAUUUUGCUCAUAUGCUUGUUAUUCUUGAAUUUGUUGCACCUAAUCGAGUUGUAUCAUUCUUGAACGGUCACUUUUUUCUGACUUCUAUUUGGGAGCUACUGGUAUUCUUCAUACUUUAACGGUUUUCCAUUGAAUUUUGAGCAUUGGGUUGAGCUUCCGAAGAUGCUGAUACCACCACUGUCCAAAUUUCAACGUAUCCAGAAUAGUUUCAAGAUGUGCAUACCUUUCUUGUUUUCCCAAUUUUGUCGUCUGGAAAUCUUCCGCUGCAACAUAUUUAUGCCUCAUUUGUAUAAUUUUUUCUUGAUGUUUAUUCACAGUUGGUUGAGUUUUUGCAUA